rnacentral:rRNA from 1 species
CCUACGGGAGGCAGCAGUGGGGAAUAUUGGGCAAUGGAGGAAACUCUGACCCAGCAAUGCCGCGUGAAUGAAGAAGGUCUUCGGAUUGUAAAGUUCUUUAGUCAGGGAAGAAGUCAAUGCCGGUACCUGAAGAAUAAGCUCCGGCUAACUACGUCCCAGCAGCCGCGGUAAUACGUAGGCAGCAAGCGUUGUUGGGAAUGACUGGGCGUAAAGGGUGCGUAGGCGGUUGUAUAAGUUAGAGGUGAAAUACCCAGGGCUUAACUCGGGUGCUGCUUCUAAAACUGUAUGACUUGAGUGCAGUAGAGGUGAGUGGAAUGCCUAGUGUAGCGGUGGAAUGCGUAGAUAUUAGGAGGAACACCAGAUGCGAAGGCGGCUAACGGGACUGCAACUGACGCUGAGGCACGAAAGUGUGGGUAGCAAACAGGAUUAGAUACCCGAGUAGUC